UCCCUGGUAGUAUAUCGGCUAGUACACGCGCCUGUCAUCAAUCAGUCCCAGACAAUGUGGGCUUCGCGCGAAAGCUGGGUUCGACUCCCAGCCAGGGAG